CUGGUCUACUGUCACAACACUUUAGUACCCUCUUCUCCCAAGGAGGCAGCAGAAACUGGGGUAAUCACAACGGUCAACAGCAGCAAAGGCAGCACUUUCUGAUUUACUUGACUGCUAUGGAUGCCACCUCUCUCCACGCCUCAGUUUAAUAUCUGUUGAGAGGCCAGAAGUCUGAAAUCAAGGCAUUAGUAGGGCCACAUUGUCUCUGAAAUCUCUAGGGAAGAAUCUUUCCUUGCCUAUUCGAGUUCCUGGUGGUGGCUGGUGUUCCUUGGCGUGCAGCAGCACAAUUCCAAUCGUUGCCUCUGCUCCCCAUGGCCUUCUCCUCUUCUCUCUCUUAUAGGAAUAUUUGCCAUUGGACUUAGGACUCGCUUCUGUAAUACUGGAUGAUCCCAUGUCAGGAUCCUUAAACUAAUUACAUCUGCAAAGAGCUUUUUCCCAAAUAUGGUCAUAUUCACAGGUUGGAGUGCGAGAGAGACAUAUCUUUUUGGAACCACCAUUCAACCCACUAGUGUGUCUAAGCACUCCGAGAGUUCUGUCAUGUACUCGUAAUACACCUGAGAGGAGGGUAUUAUUCCCAUGUUUCAGAAGAUAAAACUGAGGCUCAGAGAGGUGAGAUAACUUGUACCAGUUCAUAUCAUCAGUGAGUGGCUGGACUAGGAUGGAAACUGAGGGCUUCACCACCCAGGCAAGAGGGCAGGGGCCAGCCUGUGGAAAGAUAUGGAAGAAUGCAAGCUCGGCCCACGGAAGAGCUGUGAGCAGCUUCAUCCUGCUGCAGUGGUGAGUGUGUGAGGGUGGGAAUGAUGGGAGAGGAGGCUGAAGGAGAGCAGGGCAGGUCUUUUAAGACCUUUGACCCAGGCU
rnacentral:lncRNA from 10 species